rnacentral:rRNA from 1 species
GGGGAUGGACUCGCGGCCUAUCAGUUUGUUGUUGAGUUAAUGGCUCACCAAGGCGAUGACGGGUAGCCGGCCUGAGAGGGCGACCGGCCACACUGGGACUGAGAUACGGCCCAGACUCCUACGGGAGGCAGCAGUGGGGAAUAUUGCACAAUGGGCGAAAGCCUGAUGCAGCGACGCCGCGUGGGGGAUGACGGCCUUCGGGUUGUAACCUCUUUCAGCAGGGAAGAAGCGAGAGUGACGGUACCUGCAGAAGAAGCGCCGGCUAACUACGUGCCAGCAGCCGCGGUAAUACGUAGGGCGCAAGCGUUGUCCGGAAUUAUUGGGCGUAAAGAGCUUGUAGGUGGCUUGUCGCGUCUGCCGUGAAAACCCGAGGCUCAACCUCGGGCGUGCGGUGGGUACGGGCAGGCUAGAGUGUGGUAGGGGAGACUGGAACUCCUGGUGUAGCGGUGAUAUGCGCAGAUAUCAGGAAGAACACCGAUGGCGAAGGCAGGUCUCUGGGCCAUUACUGACACUGAGAAGCGAAAGCAUGGGGAGCAGAACAGGAUUAGAUACCCUGGUAGUCCAUGCCGUAAACGUUGGGCACUAGGUGUGGGGAACAUUCCACGUUUUCCGCGCCGUAGCUAACGCAUUAAGUGCCCCGCCUGGGGAGUACGGCCGCAAGGCUAAAACUCAAAGGAAUUGACGGGGGCCCGGCACAAGCGGCGGAGCAUGCUGGAUUAAUUCGAUGCAACGC